rnacentral:lncRNA from 1 species
GUCCCCCUCUCCAUGUAAUCUGAUUCAUUAUGAUCUAGGAUCAGGUCCUCCUCUCCAUGUAAUCUGAUUCAUUAUGACAUAGGAUCAGGUCCCUCCUCUCCAUGUAAUCUGAUUCAUUAUGAUCUAGGAUCAGGUCCCUCCUCUCCAUGUAAUCUGAUUCAUUAUGAUCUAGGAUCAGGUCCCCCCUCUCCAUGUAAUCUGAUUCAUUAUGAUCUAGGAUCAGGUCCCCCCUCUCCAUGUAAUCUGAUUCAUUAUGAUCUAGGAUCAGGUCCCUCCUCUCCAUGUAAUCUGAUUCAUUAUGAUCUAGGAUCAGGUCCCCCCUCUCCAUGUAAUCUGAUUCAUUAUGAUCUAGGAUCAGGUCCCCCCUCUCCAUGUAAUCUGAUUCAUUAUGAUCUAGGAUCAGGUCCCCCC